rnacentral:rRNA from 1 species
UACAUAGGUCCCAAGCGUUGUUCGGAUUCACUGGGCGUAAAGGGUGCGUAGGCGGUCGGGUAAGUCUGAUGUGAAAUCUCACAGCUUAACUGUAAAACUGCAUUGGAUACUAUCCGGCUCGAGGAAUGGAGGGGAGACUGGAAUACUUGGUGUAGCAGUGAAAUGCGUAGAUAUCAAGUGGAACACCAGUGGCGAAGGCGAGUCUCUGGACAUUUCCUGACGCUGAGGCACGAAAGCCAGGGGAGCAAACGGG